UUUCUCUUUAAAAUUCCUCUUCAGUUCCAUCGCCACCAGCAAAUAUCACCCCCAUCACUGUCAUCAUCACCAGCAAUACCAUCAUCCCCCACUACCAGCAACACCAACACCUAUCACCGCUUCUCAUUUGACCUGUUCCCCAAUUUCAAUUUCUCAAAUUUUUUGAUUAGUUUCUGUCACCACCAACAUCCUCCUCCACCGCCACCACCACUGCCAUCAUCACCAGCAACGCCAAUUUACUUCAGGUACAAAACAGUUUCGUAGGCAAAAAAAUUCAAUUCAUAUCUCGCCCUCUUGAAACAGGUUGGUUUAGUAAACUUGGAAAAUAAGGAAUUUGCUAAGAAGGUAGUGGAGACAACACAAGCUAAUCUACAGAGGUGAGUACAGAACAGAGGAUGAGAAAACACUAUUUUUUGCAAGGGUGAA